rnacentral:rRNA from 1 species
GAUGAACGCUGGCGGCGUGCCUAAUACAUGCAAGUCGAGCGAACAGACGAGGAGCUUGCUCCUCUGACGUUAGCGGCGGACGGGUGAGUAACACGUGGAUAACCUACCUAUAAGACUGGGAUAACUUCGGGAAACCGGAGCUAAUACCGGAUAAUAUAUUGAACCGCAUGGUUCAAUAGUGAAAGACGGUUUUGCUGUCACUUAUAGAUGGAUCCGCGCCGCAUUAGCUAGUUGGUAAGGUAACGGCUUACCAAGGCAACGAUGCGUAGCCGACCUGAGAGGGUGAUCGGCCACACUGGAACUGAGACACGGUCCAGACUCCUACGGGAGGCAGCAGUAGGGAAUCUUCCGCAAUGGGCGAAAGCCUGACGGAGCAACGCCGCGUGAUUGAUGAAGGUCUUCGGAUCGUAAAACUCUGUUAUUAGGGAAGAACAAAUGUGUAAGUAACUAUGCACGUCUUGACGGUACCUAAUCAGAAAGCCACGGCUAACUACGUG